rnacentral:rRNA from 1 species
GACGAACCACCCAAACGUUAUUCGGAAUUACUGGGCUUAGAGCGUGCGUAGGCGGCCAUGUAAGUAGGGUGUGAAAUCCCACAGCUCAACUGUGGAACUGCGCUCUAAACUACAUGGCUAGAGGGAUAUAGAGGUGAGCGGAACUGAUGGUGGAGCGGUGAAAUGCGUUGAUAUCAUCAGGAACACCGGAGGCGAAGGCGGCUCACUGGGUAUCUUCUGACGCUGAGGUACGAAAGCUAGGGGAGCGAACGGG